rnacentral:rRNA from 1 species
GAACUGAAGAGUUUGAUCAUGGCUCAGAUUGAACGCUGGCGGCAGGCCUAACACAUGCAAGUCGAGCGGAUGAGAAGAGCUUGCUCUUCGAUUCAGCGGCGGACGGGUGAGUAAUACCUAGGAAUCUGCCUGAUAGUGGGGGACAACGUUUCGAAAGGAACGCUAAUACCGCAUACGUCCUACGGGAGAAAGCAGGGGACCUUCGGGCCUUGCGCUAUCAGAUGAGCCUAGGUCGGAUUAGCUAGUUGGUGAGGUAAUGGCUCACCAAGGCUACGAUCCGUAACUGGUCUGAGAGGAUGAUCAGUCACACUGGAACUGAGACACGGUCCAGACUCCUACGGGAGGCAGCAGUGGGGAAUAUUGGACAAUGGGCGAAAGCCUGAUCCAGCCAUGCCGCGUGUGUGAAGAAGGUCUUCGGAUUGUAAAGCACUUUAAGUUGGGAGGAAGGGCAGUAAGCGAAUACCUUGCUGUUUUGACGUUACCGACAGAAUAAGCACCGGCUAACUCUGUGCCAGCAGCCGCGGUAAUACAGAGGGUGCAAGCGUUAAUCGGAAUUACUGGGCGUAAAGCGCGCGUAGUGGUUCGUUA